rnacentral:rRNA from 1 species
GAUGAACGCUGGCGGCGGGCCUAAUACAUGCAAGUCGAGCGAACGCACGAGAGGCUUUCUUCUCUGAUGUUAGCGGCGGACGGGUGAGUAACACGUGGAUAACCUACCUAUAAGACUGGGAUAACCUCGGGAAAACGGAGCCAAUACCGGAUAAUAUUUUGAACCGCAUGGUUCAAAAGUGAAAGACGGUCUUGCUGUCACUUAUAGAUGGAUCCGCGCUGCAUUAGCUAGUUGGUAAGGUAACGGCUUACCAAGGCAACGAUGCAUAGCCGACCUGAGAGGGUGAUCGGCCACACUGGAACUGAGACACGGUCCAGACUCCUACGGGAGGCAGCAGUAGGGAAUCUUCCGCAAUGGGCGAAAGCCUGACGGAGCAACGCCGCGUGAGUGAUGAAGGUCUUCGGAUCGUAAAACUCUGUUAUUGGGGAAGAACAUAUGUGUAAGUAACUGUGCACAUCUUGACGGUACCUAAUCAGAAAGCCACGGCUAACUACGUG